CCUGGAUUGCUUCCCGCCAUCUUUUCCGAGGUGGAACGACGAGACUGCAGAUGCAUGUAAAUCAGUCUGCGGGGCUUCGUUGAGAUCGGAAUGAGAGCUGGCAGGGUGGUGACAAAAAUGCCAACACAAUCUGAAAGGGCACCGAUGAAAGGCAACACAAUUAGCAUCUGGAGGGGGGAAAAUCAGAGACGAGGAGGACGGGAAUCACAUAGCGGUCUUGCUGGCAGGGAAUUGAGGUGUUUGGUUCCUACAUCAUGGCCUUCAGCACAGAUUUACUCUGACAAAGAAAACCUGAGCGACUCCAAAUCGACCGUAGCUUCUCCCCCUUCUGCAAGAGACCACCUUGUAAAGGCUCUUUCUGGAGAAUGAACACGUCAGAAUGCCACCGGUGUCAGAGAAGAUGUGCUGUUGGAUGCCAUUUUGGCUUAUAUCUGCUCUGAGAUGUGAGGCGUAGGUGCCUAUUGCAGUUGGAAGG